UGGGGAAUUUUGGACAAUGGGCGCAAGCCUGAUCCAGCCAUGCCGCGUGCAGGAUGAAGGCCUUCGGGUUGUAAACUGCUUUUGUACGGAACGAAAAGACUCCUUCUAAUAAAGGGGGUCCAUGACGGUACCGUAAGAAUAAGCACCGGCUAACUACGUGCCAGCAGCCGCGGUAAUACGUAGGGUGCGCGCGUUAAUCGGAAUUACUGGGCGUAAAGCGUGCGCAGGCGGUUAUAUAAGACAGAUGUGAAAUCCCCGGGCUCAACCUGGGACCUGCAUUUGUGACUGUAUAGCUAGAGUACGGUAGGGGGUGGUAGGAUUGCGCGUGUAGCAGUGAGAUGCGUAGAUAUGCGGAGGAACACCGAUGGCGAAGACAAUCCCCUGGACCUGUACUGACGCUCAUGCACGAAAGCGUGAGGAGCAAACA
rnacentral:rRNA from 1 species